CGUUUGCUACACGAAGAACCUUACCUGGGUUUUGACAUAUAGGUUGUAGGGAACUGAAAAGGGACCGACCCUUCGGGGAGCCUAUACAGGUGUUGCAUGGCUGUCGUCAGCUCGUGUCGUGAGAUGUUCGGUUAAGUCCGCUAACGAGCGCAACCCUCGUCGUAUGUUAUAUGUGUCAUACGAGACUGCCGGUAAAAAGCCGGAGGAAGGUGAGGAUGAUGUCAAGUCAGCAUGACCUUUAUAUCCAGGGCUACACACACGCUACAAUGGUCUGUACAAUGGGUAGCCAAGCCGCGAGGCGGAGCCAAUCCUGAAAGCAGGCCUCAGUUCAGAUUGCAGUCUGCAACUCGACUGCAUGAAGCCGGAGUUGCUAGUAACCGCAGGUCAGCAAUACUGCGGUGAAUACGUUCCGGGUCUU
rnacentral:rRNA from 1 species